rnacentral:rRNA from 1 species
UACGGGGGGGGGCAAGCGUUGUUCGGAAUUACUGGGCGUAAAGGGCGCGUAGGCGGUCAGAUAAGUCAGCUGUGAAAACCUCGGGCUUAACCCGAGGCCUGCAGUUGAAACUGUCUGGCUGGAGUGUGGGAGAGGAGAGUGGAAUUCCCGGUGUAGCGGUGAAAUGCGCAGAUAUCGGGAAGAACACCCGUGGCGAAGGCGGCUCUCUGGGACGGUACUGACGCUGAGACGCGAAAGCGUGGGGAGCGAACAGG